UAGGGAAUCUUCGGCAAUGGACGAAAGUCUGACCGAGCAACGCCGCGUGAGUGAAGAAGGUUUUCGGAUCGUAAAACUCUGUUGUUAGAGAAGAACAAGGACGUUAGUAACUGAACGUCCCCUGACGGUAUCUAACCAGAAAGCCACGGCUAACUACGUGCCAGCAGCCGCGGUAAUACGUAGGUGGCAAGCGUUGUCCGGAUUUAUUGGGCGUAAAGCGAGCGCAGGCGGUUUCUUAAGUCUGAUGUGAAAGCCCCCGGCUCAACCGGGGAGGGUCAUUGGAAACUGGGAGACUUGAGUGCAGAAGAGGAGAGUGGAAUUCCAUGUGUAGCGGUGAAAUGCGUAGAUAUAUGGAGGAACACCAGCGGCGAAGGCGGCUCUCUGGUCUGUAACUGACGCUGAGGCUCGAAAGCGUGGGGAGCAAACAGGA
rnacentral:rRNA from 1 species